GUGAAUUGGUUGCAGUGUUCAGAAACAUCACUGAGGGAUGAUGAGUGUUUGCAUGAAUUCCUAUACUAAGCUUCUCUUGUUUCUCUCACAGGUCCCAGAUGUCUGGUCCCACCCCCAGGUGCCACGGAUUGCCUCAGACAACAAGAAAAGAGAAACCUGUGUGAGAAAGCAUUGUCACAUCAGACUAGUUCAGCAAGCAAAAACUUAGGUACUUUCACGUUGAUGAUUCCUUGUGAGGUUUUAGAUUCAGGGACCCUGGAUGAGGAACACAGCCCUCAUGUGCAGGAGGAGGUGUUAGCGACAGUGGCAGCUGUGGGCCGUCCAGCACAGUGUACAUGGCUCUGUAUCUGGAGUGAGUGCAGAGCGAGUGGCCCUGAUCAGGAGACUGUCGCAGGUGGCCCUGCGGCUGGAGGACAUGCAGCUGAACCCCAGCAGCACAUACCUUCAAGCCAACAGGACAGCACACCAAGGGCUGAGGAAUCUUCAGAGGAGGAUGAGGAUCCCAUGUAGUUUGUUGGAAUCUCACCAUCCCUGGUAUCCACAGUGCCUCUAUUCCAUCUAUGAGCCGGGGCCAAUUGGUUCAGCUUGGCAUUGCAUGGAUUAGUACAGAGUUUAUAAAGUACUCUGGGAAAUCUUUGGAUAUUCUUGGCAAUCUCGAGAUCUAACAGGAGCUUUUUUUUAAAAGAAAGAGCAGCUGAGGUUGUUGUGCGUGCUUCCUAAAUACCUAAAUUUUAACCAUUUUAUUCAUAUUACUAAUUAGCUUGGAUAUUUUUGUUGCUGUAAAUUACCAAUUAAGUGAUUAAUUUUGUCACCAAUUUUGUUCAAAUAUAUUUGCACAAUACUUUCAAUAUCACAUUGAAUGAGGCAGUUUUUGAAAAGAAACUUUGUUGAAAAAAAACAUUAAUUUUCAAAUCGGCUCAAGCAGAUGGCCUUACCUUUGGGUCAUUAUCUUAUCGCAACCAAAACCGUGAUCCACCCAAGUGACUGGGUGGGUGGGGGUGACAUUCCUGGAGCUGUUUGGGCAGAUACACACUAACAAAUUUUUUACACGCCCAUUUGGCACUCGUGUGUGACUUUAGCAGGCAUGGACAGAGAGGUUCAAGGUUGUCACUGAGCAGCUGCAGAGCACCCUGUGUGGGGAGAGUGAACAACCAGCAGUCCUGGUGCACAUCGGAGCCAACGACACAGGAGAAGCUGGCUCACAUCAGCAGGGAGAGGUCCCAGGCCAGGGGUGGAGUGGCUCACAUUAG